AUGACUUUCAAUACUGUCGGGAUGGAAACGGUUUCAAGAUAUUUGGACAUCAACCGGACCUUCACCCUAAUAUGCUGCUUCUCCUCCAUUUUCUUGCAAGCAGAAGGGAGCACCACUUCCUGGAUGGUCGGGAGCACAGUGACCCUGCACUGUAGCAAUAACUCAAUCAGCGACCUCCUUCAACUGACAUGGAGAAGGAAUGGGACUCUUCUGUUUAGUUUCAGGCCACAGAAAACCUCAAACAACAGCUCUGUCACCUUAAGCAGUAAUCAGAAAACAUCAGACAGCAGAAUAAUAGGGUCUCAUGCAGCUGCCAUCCUGAAUCUAAGCAUAUCCACCUUAAAAAGCCAACUGUAUGCACUAAUCAUAGAGGGAGCCCAGAAAUAUCACGAAGGAAACUACAUUUGUGAAAUGACCACAGACUCAGGAGUCUUUGAACAGAAAUGGGAGCUCAUGAUUACAGAAGAAGCUGAAGCUGGAAAUAAAUUGAAAAUCCAUAUUGCUGCAAUCAUGGUACCUUGUGUGUGUUUCCUGAUCUUUAUCAUUUGUGCUUUGACCUUUCUGAGACAAAUCUGCAAAAGACAGUCAGAAAAUAUCACCCAACUGACUGUGACAUUGGUAAAUAGAAUACUUUCCCUACUCUCUGCUGAGAAGUUAGAUUUUAGACAAUUUGCAGAUACAUAUUUGAAAAUCCAACAGAUCUGCCAUCCUCUCCAUUUUAGGCAAUACUGAACCAGCUGAACUCGUUCAAAAGUGUUUCAGCUCCACAAGCACCAGGACGGCUACAGAAAAUCUUUACCACCACAUACAAUAAACC
rnacentral:lncRNA from 1 species